rnacentral:rRNA from 2 species
CCCUGAGAUUAGCGGGGGACGGGUGAGUAACACGUGGGCAACCUGCCUAUAAGACUGGGAUAACUUCGGGAAACCGGAGCUAAUACCGGAUACGUUCUUUUCUCGCAUGAGAGAAGAUGGAAAGACGGCUUACGCUGUCACUUAUAGAUGGGCCCGCGGCGCAUUAGCUAGGUGGUGAGGUAAUGGCUCACCAAGGCGACGAUGCGUAGCCAACCUGAGAGGGUGAUCGGCCACACUGGGACUGAGACACGGCCCAGACUCCUACGGGAGGCAGCAGUAGGGAAUCUUCCGCAAUGGACGAAAGUCUGACGGAGCAACGCCGCGUGAACGAAGAAGGCCUUCGGGUCGUAAAGUUCUGUUGUUAGGGAAGAACAAGUACCAGAGUAACUGCUGGUACCUUGACGGUACCUAACCAGAAAGCCACGGCUAACUACGUGCCAGCAGCCGCGGUAAUACGUAGGUGGCAAGCGUUGUCCGGAAUUAUUGGGCGUAAAGCGCGCGCAGGUGGUUCCUUAAGUCUGAUGUGAAAGCCCACGGCUCAACCGUGGAGGGUCAUUGGAAACUGGGGAACUUGAGUGCAGAAGAGGAAAGUGGAAUUCCAAGUGUAGCGGGGAAAUGCGUAGAGAUUUGGAGGAACACCAGUGGCGAAGGCGACUUUCUGGUCUGUAACUGA